UACGAAGGGGGCGAGCGUUAUUCGGAAUCACUGGGCGUAAAGCGUGCGUAGGCUGUUUGGCAAGUUGGAAGUGAAAGCCCAGGGCUCAACCCUGGAAUUGCUUUCAAAACUGCCAGACUAGGAUCCGGGAGAGGAUAGCGGAAUUCCAGGUGUAGCGGUGAAAUGCGUAGAUAUCUGGAGGAACACCGGUGGCGAAGGCGGCAUCCUGGACCGGGAUUGACACUGAGGCGCGAAAGCCAGGGGAGCAAACGGG
rnacentral:rRNA from 1 species